UCCCGGUCCUCUCGUUCUCCUUCCUCAGCCGAUGGAAGACUGUCAGCUGAUCCGUGAUCUCUGGGAAGAGUCGGGCUGCUCGUGUUUCACUCCUCUCUCCCCUCAGACGCACUGCGGCAGCCACUGCACACACACACACACACACACACACACACACACUGCACUCGCUACUGUUUUUAGGAGGGAGGGAGUGGGGCGGCUCUCUUGUCUUGUCUCUCCCAAACUAUUCCUUCUUCAAGUCUCUUCUCGCAUGGAAGGCUUUCUUCUGAGGACACAAACAUGCCUGGGAAGUUUGGAGGUGGAUUUCUGAGGCUUGGAUCUAUACGCUCGCGUUCCGUGAGGAAUACAGGAAUACCCCGAAGAGUUCGUGCUCUUGCUGGAGAUCCCAGAGGAGCGAGAGUUCUUGAAGGAGUGAACACAGUGUCUUUCAUCUGCGUGGCACCGGAUCGUCGUGAUGGACUCAGAUAGCAUUUCUGCUUCAGACGUUAGGCUUUGACCACAGGCCUGUCUCUAUCCGCUUCUCAGACAGCUGGAAUCAUCCCAUAACUGGAUAAUAGAUUCCCGGGUCCUGCUUUCAGCGGUGAACGGGAGAGAGCUGCCCCAGACGAACUGACCUGAAUCCAUCCCAGCGCUGUCUGAAGCACAGCUGCACAGCUCCUCAGCAGCGAGCGAGUGUGUGUGUGUGUGUGUGUGUGUGACUCUCUCUCUCUCUCUCUCUCUCUCUGAGCGGGCGAAGGGAAACUGGCACACCUCGCCACAUCUCUUGGGGACAGCUCUUUCUAACAGCUUCUUCCUCGUCUCCUCCUGCAGUGAUCAAUCAGUCAGGCGUUGAUGGAGAAUUAGGGGCUGCUCUGAGCCGCUCUCAUCAUCCGGCGCUGGGGAGCACAUCUAGCGUCUGCAUCUGUGGAGCUGAGAGCCACGAACCGUCUCCGAGUGAAUCCUCCGGAUCUCUUCCCUCUCCGCCUCCUGUUUCACUGUGAAGAGUGUGUGCAGCUCAGAGAAGACAGUUAUGAUGCAGACUUAUCCUACAGGAGCUCAGAAUACAAGGAAAUUGUGUAAUGUUGUGCUUUGGUUUUAAAUAUUAUGUGUUUAAACUAAACGACAGAUGAUUUACAGUUUAAUAAAAUCUAUUAAUCUGAGACAGGAGUUUCAGAAACAUGUUUGCUGGACAAAGAACAUAAUGAAAAAUAUAUUGUAUUUUAGUUACUGCAAAUGUUAAUAAAUCACUUCAGACAUCUAGUUCUAUUUAAAACACAUUUAGCCAAUUUAAUUUCAAUCAUUUUUGAUGUUACAGCUGGAACAUGUUCUGCCCUUAUGAACGUCUGACUUAAAGAUAUGAAAUAAUUCAGAUCGACCUCACAUUCAUACGGUAGAAGUAGAAACAUGCAGAUGCUGAUGUGUUCAGUUAAACACUGAAAGAUGGAAAUAUGGUUCAUAUGUCUGGUCUUAUGAAUAUGUGUGAUUUCAUGAUGUUGUUUUUAACUGCCUUUUUUGUAGUCUCAUGCAUUUUCCAUGUGCUUUUUAUUUGUAUUAAAGAAAUUAACAUACUUUCAUGAAAUAAUUAUGAAUAAAGACAUUUACCAUCGAA